rnacentral:tRNA from 1 species
GCGUCGGUGGCAGAGUGGUCAAAUGCACAUGGCUGUAAACCAUGCGACUUCGGUCUACGGAGGUUCGAAUCCUCCCCGGCGCA